rnacentral:rRNA from 1 species
GUAACAAGGUUUCCGUAGGUGAACCUGCGGAAGGAUCAUUACCUAGAGUUGCGGGCUUUGCCUGCCAUCUCUUACCCAUGGUCUUUUGAGUACCUUCGUUUCCUCGGCGGGGUUCGCCCGCCGGUUGGACAACACUUAAACCCUUUGUAAUUGAAAUCAGCGUCUGAAAAAACUUUAAUAGUUACAACUUUCAACAACGGAUCUCUUGGUUCUGGCAUCGAUGAAGAACGCAGCGAAAUGCGAUAAGUAGUGUGAAUUGCAGAAUUCAGUGAAUCAUCGAAUCUUUGAACGCACAUUGCGCCCCUUGGUAUUCCAUGGGGCAUGCCUGUUCGAGCGUCAUUUGUACCUUCAAGCUCUGCUUGGUGUUGGGUGUUUGUCUCGCCUCUGCGCGCAGACUCGCCUCAAAGCAAUUGGCAGCCGGCGUAUUGAUUUCGGAGCGCAGUACAUCUCGCGCUUUGCACUCAUAACGAGCGACGUCCAAAAAGUACAUUUUUUACACUCUUGACCUCGGAUCAGGUAGGGAUACCCGCUGAACUUAAGCAUAUCAA